CAAUUUUUAUAAAUUUCAGAUUUUAAGUUUUGGAUUUAUGGGGCUUUAUUCAUAAAAAAAAGGGGGAUUUUCAACACUUCGGACAAUAACUCAAAAAGGCUUUCACCAAUGUCCAUGAAACUUUGGUGAAUUGUUUAUAUCUAUUGAUGUAAGCUCCCUUUCAAUUUUUAUAUAUUUCAGAUUUUAAGUUUUGGAUUUAUGGGGCUUUAUUCAUAAAAAAAGGGGGAUUUUCAACACUUCGGACAAUAACUCAAAAAGGCUUUCACCAAUGUCCAUGAAACUUUGGUGAAUUGUUUAUAUCUAUUGAUGUAAGCUCCCUUUCAAUUUUUAUAAAUUUCAGAUUUUACAUUUCCGUGUUAUGAAUUUUUAUGCUUAAAAAAAGGGGGG
rnacentral:lncRNA from 1 species